rnacentral:rRNA from 1 species
UACGUAGGGUCCGAGCGUUGUCCGGAAUUACUGGGCGUAAAGAGCUCGUAGGUGGUUUGUCGCGUUGUCCGUGAAAACUCACAACUCAAUUGUGGGCGUGCGGGCGAUACGGGCAGACUGGAGUACUGCAGGGGAGACUGGAAUUCCUGGUGUAGCGGUGGAAUGCGCAGAUAUCAGGAGGAACACCGGUGGCGAAGGCGGGUCUCUGGGCAAUAACUGACGCUGAGGAGCGAAAGCGUGGGGAGCGAACAGG